GGCUCAGGAUGAACGCUGGCGGCGUGCCUAAUACAUGCAAGUCGAACGAGGUGCUUUGUAGCAAUACGAAGUAUCCUAGUGGCGAACGGGUGAGUAACGCGUUGGUGACCUACCCCAAAGUGUGGGAUAACAGUCCGAAAGGAUUGCUAAUACCGCAUGUGGUCUUCGGAUUUAGAAACUGAUGACUAAAGGAGCAAUUCGCUUUGGGAGGGACCUGCGUCCCAUCAGCUAGUUGGUGAGGUAAUGGCUCACCAAGGCGACGACGGGUAGGGGACCUGAGAGGGUGGCCCCCCACAAUGGAACUGAAACACGGUCCAUACGCCUACGGGUGGCAGCAGUAGGGAAUAUUGCUCAAUGGGCGAAAGCCUGAAGCAGCAACGCCGCGUGUGUGAUGAAGGCCUUCGGGUCGUAAAACACUUUUCUGAGAGAUGAGAAAGGACAGUAUCUCAGGAAUAAGUCUCGGCUAACUACGUGCCAGCAGCCGCGGUAAAACGUAGGAGGCAAGCGUUAUCCGGAUUCACUGGGCGUAAAGCGCGUGCAGGCGGUGCGGUAAGUUGGGCGUGAAAUCUCCCGGCUCAACUGGGAGAGGUCGUCCAAUACUACCGUACUUGAGAGCAGAAGAGGAAAAUGGAAUUCCCGGUGUAGUGGUGAAAUGCGUAGAUAUCGGGAGGAACACCAGUGGCGAAGGCGAUUUUCUGGUCUGUUUCUGACGCUCAGACGCGACAGCUAGGGUAGUAAACGGGAUUAGAGACCCCGGUAAUCCUAGCCGUAAACGAUGUGAACUUGGCGUUGGUGGGUUAAACUCCAUCAGUGCCGUAGCAAACGCGAUAAGUUCACCGCCUGGGGAC
rnacentral:rRNA from 1 species